CUAAAACAAUCUCACCCUCCCAACCAAGAGAAAUUUGGAUAAGUGGCUUGGUGACUUGAUGUAAGAGUUGGGACCUUGGAGCAUUUUCUGAAACCAGAAGAACCAGAGACACUGCUCAAGAAGCACUGCUUUUGGACUCCCCAGACAGGAAGGCCCAUUCCUUGUCCACUUGUUUUGAGUCUCCAACCCAGACAAGGUAGCUUAAAAGAUUGCGCUCUAGACAUCGCCGUUCAGAAGUCGUGUCUUGGUUUUGGAUGGUUUCAUAGAAGCUCAAGCUUUUCGGACCAGAAGCCUAGUCAUUACCAGACAUUGGUGUUUUACUGAUAGAGAUACCGAGGACACAGCCGCUAAAACUGAGGCCGCAUUUAUGGAGAUGGAUCAUCGUAGUCUUCUCCCGUAUUCUUCUCCCUUCUUUUCGCUCUUUCAAGGGAUAAGAACUUAGCAGAUAGAGUUUUCAGAGGAUUCAGUAGAUAGAGCUAUCUGGACUUAUCGAGAGAUGAACACGAUCAUUGGAAACAAUUAAAAUCGCCUCUUAUAGUCUGGAAAAAAAGACCUUCAUAAACUGCCAAGAAAGAAGAAUCGAGAAAAGCGAACUUUUCCUGGACAACCAUGGAUGGAUUUGAUUCUGAAAGACCAAAGCCAUGGAACAUAUAUACCAAUUCAGAUCCGAGCUCAUCCCAAGCAACACUAGAUAGGGAAACUCCAUGGAAAAGCUUUGGAGCAUCAAUGAAUGCCAUAUCUUUUGGAUUUGUUGCCACAGCAAUUUUGAUAUCCUUGUUCCUUAUUAUGGCUAUCUUUGAACAUCUGUUCAGACCCAGUCCCUCUUUCACUUCACCUGAACCCAUGAACAACAGUUCUCUGGAAGCAGGAGAGACAGAGAAGCUUCGCAAUCCGCAGCUAGUGUCUACGCACUAUGCUUCAGACAUCCCGGUGCUAAUGCCGGCGCAGCACUGUCCUACCUACAUUGCUCAACCUGCUCCUCUCCCCUGUCCAAGAGAAGGAUUUUAUCGGCCUUAUCAUGAAGACAAAUUUUCUCUUUCAGUACGUAGUUCCCGCAAUGAGAGCCAUCACUGAAUCUGCUUGUAUAUCGAUAGGGGCAUGAGAUCCUCAUCUGUGAACCGCAUCUCACUUUACAACACCCCUCGCAACAAAAAAGAAACGAGAUAAAUGAGUAGUUUAGGCUUAUGGAGACGAAUAGGAGCAGCGAGGGAAGUUCGGGUUCAGUUUUCAUUCUACAAUGUACGAUAUAAUGCAUCAAUGAAAAUGAGUGAAGAGCUUGAUAA